rnacentral:rRNA from 1 species
UACGUAGGUGGCAAGCGUUGUCCGGAUUUACUGGGCGUAAAGGGCGCGUAGGCGGUUUGCUAAGUUGAAUGUGAAAACUCUGGGCUUAACCCAGAGCCUGCAUUCAAUACUGGCAGGCUAGAGUUCUGGAGGGGAUAGCGGAAUUCCUGGUGUAGCGGUGAAAUGCGUAGAUAUCAGGAGGAACACCGGUGGCGAAGGCGGCUAUCUGGACAGAGUCUGACGCUGAGGCGCGAAAGCUAGGGGAGCAAACAGG